CUUUUAAGGAAAACAGCCUUC
rnacentral:tRNA from 1 species